UUAAGUUCAGCGGGUAUCCCUACCUGAUCCGAGGUCAACCUGGGUAAGAUUGAUGGGUGUCGACAGGCGCCGACCGGGCCUACACGAGCGGGUGACAAAGCCCCAUACGCUCGAGGACCGGACGGUGCCGCCGCUGCCUUUCGGGCCCGCCCCCCCCGGAAGGGGGGCGAGGGCCCAACACACAAGCCGUGCUUGAGGGC
rnacentral:misc_RNA from 1 species